UGAGAUUCUCACCUCCAUUUCA
rnacentral:miRNA from 1 species